rfam:Picea glauca, whole genome shotgun sequence.
AUAACGGUGUCUUUAGACACCACCCUUUCUUUUCUUCGAAAUGUAU